CAUGUUAAACACUACUAUUGCACACAAAGUGAAUCCAUACAACUUUUUAUGUUAAUUUUUCAGCAAACCUUUACUCCUGAACUUAUUUAGGCUUGCCAUAACAAAACGGUUUAAUACUCAUUGACUCGACAUUUCAUCAAAUUUUUUAAUUACACAAUUCCACCUAUUGUGUGUAGGCAAGUGACACAAUCUCAAUUUAAUCCAUUCAAAUUUCAGGCUGUAACACAACAAAAUAUGGAAAAAGUCAAGGGGUGUAAAUACUUUGAAGGCACUGUAUCUGUUGUGUGAUUGGUUGAGGCUUCUUGGCUAACAUUGUCGCCGAGGAGGGCUUGCUAGUUAGCUUCAGUAUUUGCGUAAUCUCAGACGUUUUCUUAUAAAAACAGCUCAACUACUAGCUAGUYAAAUGCUAAUUGUGAASCUGGCUAGCUAACAUUAGCUAAUAGCUAGACCACAGACAAAAGGGUAAACCUUAGUUUGGAGUUAGCUGGGUUUCUUUCAUUUUUGUAACUGUUCAGCCAACAACCUAUGGGAACCCCUUCCCAUGAUGUGAUUGAGAUGCUUAAUUAAGUACCACAGUAUGAGUCAUAUCCAUAAAACCCAGAAAUGGUUAGUUUUCCACCAGUAAUUUUUUUCCGUAGGGGAUUUUAGAACUACUUUGUAUACGGUCUGUGUUUCGUGUAGGCUUAUCCUGGCGUGYCUUUUGAUAAUCACACAUAUCUCUCUCAGACAAGGUAACUUUUAUCAAUAUAUUCGCCUGUAAUUACCCCCCAAAAAUGAAACGCUAAUGUGGCUAUCAUACAGAACUCCUGCCGCAAGCUUUGACGUAAUCACUCAAGGCGCAGGGUGGGAAAAUCCUCCACAAUUCUCAAUGCAAACUCUCAUCGACAAGUAGCAAGUGACCUAGGAAGUAGAUAUUUUAACGUUUUUAGUUUCUUGUGUAAAUUAUUUAGAUUGUGUAUUUCUAGUAUGUAUUCUUGUUAAUUUUUCCAAUUACCUAGCUAGCUACCMUAGCAUUUUUUMAUUACUAUAAAAAAAAAUAUUACCCUGGCCUUGUAGCUAACUAUCUAACCUUAGGUCUCUCCGUCYAUCAGAAGCAGGGAUGGUURUGUGCMYUUUACCGGAUUGUAACCACCACUCCGAUAAGCACACGUGCAUUUUAUCAUUUUCCGACCUCUGUAAGUGAGAGGCAUCGCUGGAGCUGUGUGAUAAGAUGAUGCAUGAGGAUUGGGUGUAGAGGGACUACUUGUCACAUUGUGCAGUUGUAGAGACUACAGGAUAUCAAGCCUGUGGACGGACAGUCUAAACAGGAGUACAUUCCUCAGACUAUUUAGUACAUCCCUCAGACCAUCAGACAUCCUGUGCUAGUGUGAUCCGAGCAUAAGUGUCAAAGUUGUGGAGACUACAGCACAUCGAGCUUAUGGACGGACAGAUUAUGAGGCAUGACAUGCUGAACAUCAGACUCACCCCACGAGAAGCAGUGCAUGAUCAACACCACUCUCAGUAAGGAGAUCUGUUGGAAAUUAUGUACUCUCUCUCUUAAUCUCUCACUCUGGCGACAACACCCCAUCCAACGACUGAUCUGAAGACCCUUUUUAGCAGCGACGGAGUAACACGCUUGGCCCUAACCACUACUCCAUAAUUGCUGGCCGUCAACCUCCCUCUCCUCAUGGUGUGCCUGUUGGGGUUGGUGCGCUGUCCAACUGUUGCCUGCCGUAUAACUUCCUGAAAUGUGCUAUAUAAAUAAAGGUUGAUUUGAUUGAUGACAUUACAGCUGUAGAAUAUUUAAUAAACUGUCAUUUUCACAAGGACAAGUGCACUUUUUCACAAAUUAUUAAUUGAUAACUUGGGAUUUUAUCACUUGACAUAUCGAUCAUAUAGUGAGAAGGAUCCUACAAAUCAAGAAUGUGAACCACUCAGAAUAAAUAAAUACUGUGCCUUUGAAGAUUUGUCUCUGGUCAUGAAACUACAAUACACAGGCUGGAUGUCUAWGUCAAUUCUGAAUGUCAACAGAUUUUUUUGAUUUUAGGACUAAGUUAUACCUCAUCUAAGUCUGGUACCCGGGGUAGUCUGGUUAAUGAUUAUAUAAUUGAUUAAGUGACUCUUGACAGCUGUAUAGAACGCAUUGUAUUGCUAAGAUGCUCAAAAGUAAAACAAAAAUAUUUUUUUAUCUACUGCUCUGCUAACUAGCUAGAUAAAGUGUAGCCAGUGGCUAGAUAAGACAGAGAAAGGGGACGUAAGCAGUUCAACACUUUAUUAAAUUCAUUUCAAUAGAGCACAUGGAUUCAUCAUGGAUUGUUCACAGAAGGUCUUUGAUCACGCUGGUGAAUGGUAGCUGACAGUGUUGGCUAGAGAUGACGUGCAGGAGCUUCCUGUUGGAAUUUGUAGUCUUGCUAAGGUCUUCUCUGUUGCUAAUUAGCAUUUCCAUUUUUUUGAGAGUAAAUUGAGGUGAAUAUAUUGAUAAAACUCACCUAGUCUGAGAGAAUUACACAGCUACACUAUAUAUACAAAAGUAUGUGGACACCCCUUCAAAUUAGCAGCACUAGCCCCUCGCCAAACAGUUAGAGUCCUGAACUACUUCGACCAGUGGUCACCAACCGGUAAAUAGCAAUCCUCAUAGCAUUCCUAGUUGAUCACCAAACAUUUCUGUAGAAAAGCCAAUGAUAAAGACU